rnacentral:rRNA from 1 species
AUUGAACGCUGGCGGCAGGCCUAACACAUGCAAGUCGAGCGGAUGAAGGGAGCUUGCUCCUGGAUUCAGCGGCGGACGGGUGAGUAAUGCCUAGGAAUCUGCCUGGUAGUGGGGGAUAACGUCCGGAAACGGGCGCUAAUACCGCAUACGUCCUGAGGGAGAAAGUGGGGGAUCUUCGGACCUCACGCUAUCAGGUGAGCCUAGGUCGGAUUAGCUAGUUGGUGGGGUAAAGGCCUACCAAGGCGACGAUCCGUAACUGGUCUGAGAGGAUGAUCAGUCACACUGGAACUGAGACACGGUCCAGACUCCUACGGGAGGCAGCAGUGGGGAAUAUGGGACAAUGGGCGAAAGCCUGAUACAGCCAUGCGACGUGUGUGAAGAAGGUCUUCCGAGUGUGAAGCACUUUAAGUGGGGGGGAAGGGCAGUCAGUUAAUACCUUGCUGUUUUGACGUUACCAACAGAAUAAGCACCGGCUAACUACGUG